GGAUUAGAUACCCUGGUAGUCCAUGCCGUAAACGAUGUGUGCUAGACGUUGGAAAUAUAUUUUUCAGUGUCGCAGCGAAAGCAUUAAGCACACCGCCUGGGGAGUACGACCGCAAGGUUAAAACUCAAAUGAAUUGACGGGGACCCGCACAAGCAGUGGAGCAUGUGGUUUAAUUCGAAGAUACGCGCAGAACCUUACCAACACUUGACAUGUUCGUCGCGAGACCAAGAGAUUGGUUUCUUCAUUUAGUUGGACGAAACACAGGUGCUGCAUGGCUGUCGUCAGCUCGUGCCG
rnacentral:rRNA from 1 species